rnacentral:rRNA from 1 species
AGCCGCGGUAAUUCCAGCUCCAAUAGCGUAUACUAAAGUUGUUGCGGUUAAAAAGCUCGUAGUUGGAUCUUGGAAUGUGUUCAAGCGGGUCAGCUUCUGGCUGUGCGCUGCUUGACGUGUUCUUCUAUUUGGUUUUGGUGCGGUGCGCUUAACUGCGUGUCGCUCCCGGCCGAAACGUUUACCUUGAAAAAAUUAGAGUGUUCAAAGCAGACCUGUUUGAGUCUGAAUAUUCGUGCAUGGAAUAAUGAAAUAUGAAUUCGGUUCUAUUUUGUUGGUUUUCGGAACUCGAGUUAAUGAUCAAGAGGGACAGACGGGGGCAUUCGUACUCUGCCGUUAGAGGUGAAAUUCUUGGAUCGGCGGAAGACGCGCAACUGCGAAAGCAUUUGCCAAGAAUGUUUUCUUUAAUCAAGAACGAUAGUCGGAGGUUCGAAGACGAUCAGAUACCGUCCUAGUUUCGACUGUAAACUAUGCCAGCUAACGAUCAGACAGAGUUCUCUACGACUUGUCUGGCAGUUUCCGGGAAACCAAAGCGUUUGGGUUCCGGGGGAAGUAUGGUUGCAAAGCUGAAACUUAAAGGAAUUGACGGAAGGGCACCACCAGGAGUGGAGCCUGCGGCUUAAUUUGACUCAACACGGGGAAACUCACCCGGCCCGGACACAGUGAGGAUUGACAGAUUGAGAGUUCUUUCUUGAUUCUGUGGGUGGUGGUGCAUGGCCGUUCUUAGUUGGUGGAGCGAUUUGUCUGGUUAAUUCCGAUAACGAACGAGACUCUGGCAUGUUAAAUAGUCGCGGAAGUGCGUAUGCACUUGCCGAAUUGACUUCUUAGAGGGACUAGUGAUUUUAAUUCACACGAGAUUGAGCAAUAACAGGUCUGUGAUGCCAGGCGAAUCGUUAAGCUGC